rnacentral:rRNA from 1 species
GACGAACGCUGGCGGCGUGCUUAACACAUGCCAGUCGAACGGAAAGGCCCUGCUUUUGUGGGGUGCUCGAGUGGUGAACGGGUGAGUAACACGUGAGUAACCUGCCCUUGACUUUGGGAUAACUUCAGGAAACUGGGGCUAAUACCGGAUAGGAGCUCCUGCUGCAUGGUGGGGGUUGGAAAGUUUCGGCGGUUGGGGAUGGACUCGCGGCUUAUCAGCUUGUUGGUGGGGUAGUGGCUUACCAAGGCUUUGACGGGUAGCCGGCCUGAGAGGGUGACCGGCAACAUUGGGACUGAGAUACGGCCCAGACUCCUACGGGAGGCAGCAGUGGGGAAUAUUGCACAAUGGGCGGAAGCCUGAUGCAGCAACGCCGCGUGCGGGAUGACGGCCUUCGGGUUGUAAACCGCUUUCGCCUGUGACGAAGCGUGAGUGACGGUAAUGGGUAAAGAAGCACCGGCUAACUACGUG